rnacentral:rRNA from 1 species
UACGUAGGUGGCGAGCGUUGUCCGGAUUUAUUGGGCGUAAAGCGCGCGCCAGGCGGUGCGGUAAGUCCGUCGUGAAAAUCUCCCGGCUCAACUGGGAGGGUGCGGUGGAGACUGCCGGACUGGAGGCACUCAGAGGCCGGUGGAAUUCCCGGUGUAGUGGUGAAAUGCGUAGAGAUCGGGAGGAACACCAGUGGCGAAGGCGGCGACCUGGACAAGCACUGACACUCAACUACGAAAGCGUGGGGAGCAAACAGG